AUGAAGUGGCAGCCGUUCAUGUCCAAGUUCGUGUUGAACAAGAUGUGUGAGCUCAUCUCUAGUGGAGUUAGGACUGACAGGGGCUUCAAGGAGGUGCACUUGAACACCGUUGCGAAGCAGGUGUUCGAAUUCUGUGGGCAAGAGGUGUCUGCCACCCAGCACAUCUUCUCCUUCGGGCUGGCAACUGGGAAGCAUGCCAUGGGCUCGGGGGAGCCUCUUGGUUCUCCCAUGCCUGACUUCCCUGGGACCCCGGAUAUCGAGAUCCUUUAUGGCCCCGACAAGCCCGCUACGAAGCCCUUCGACAAGCCAUUUGACCCCGUUGAUAGGAAGAGGAAGAGAGGAGGCCUGAUGGAGGAGGAGUUCAAUGUCUUCUAUAGCAUGACUGAGGCGGUGAAGGAGGUGGCAACAACCAUCAGGGAGUGCAAGCCCCUCGACGUCCAUCCUGACCUGUAUGGCGCUGUCAUGACCCAGGGUGGCUUCAGCGACGAGGCUCUCAUGGCAGCUCUCAGCCCACUGCUUGACAACAAGGCCCAGGGUGUUGGGUUCGUUGCAAUGCCGACGCUCACAGGGGCAAGUGGUAUGCUGUGUUCAUUGGUGAGGUUCCAGGGGUUUAUAGUUCAUGAAAAGAAGCUAAUGCACAAGUGGCAUCGUAUAGCAACAACAACUAUAGAGGGUUUAAGACUAAGCAGGCGCAGAACAAGCUUACUCCGCCUGGGUGCGAAAGCACGGAGGCAACAGUGUCGACAGUGCCAAGGUUGGAGCUGUCAAAGUGGAAGCUGCUAA
rnacentral:rRNA from 1 species